CUGGGUCUAUGUUGCCUUUAAGAACAUAGGGUAGCCUAGAAAUGAAAAUUACCUCUAUCAUGGCAUACCAUUUUCAUAAGUAGACAACCCAAGGUGUUCAAAAUGGUUUUGUCCAGUUUUCGUUAGUAGUAAUUUACAAUCCCUGGCCUGUAACGUUCCAAAACACAAUAAAACCUAUACAUGGGGGUACUCGGGAGACUUUGC